rnacentral:rRNA from 1 species
GACGAACGCUGGCGGCGUGCUUAACACAUGCCAGUCGAACGGAAAGGCCCUGCUUUUGUGGGGUGCUCGAGUGGCGAACGGGUGAGUAACACGUGAGUAACCUGCCCUUGACUUUGGGAUAACUUCAGGAAACUGGGGCUAAUACCGGAUAGGAGCUCCUGCUGCAUGGUGGGGAUUGGAAAGUUUCGGCGGUUGGGGAUGGACUCGCGGCUUAUCAGCUUGUUGGUGGGGUAGUGGCUUACCAAGGCUUUGACGGGUAGCCGGCCUGAGAGGGUGACCGGCCACAUUGGGACUGAGAUACGGCCCAGACUCCUACGGGAGGCGGCAGUGGGGAAUAUUGCACAAUGGGCGGAAGCCUGAUGCAGCAACGCCGCGUGCGGGAUGACGGCCUUCGGGUUGUAAACCGCUUUCGCCUGUGACGAAGCGUGAGUGACGGUAAUGGGUAAAGAAGCACCGGCUAACUACGUG